CCCCACAGGGUGCUCAUGAAGAACUGAGCAAGCUCUGCUUUUGUAUUGCAUGUCUCUCUCUCAGGUUUGUCUUCCUAUCGUAUUUGGUAUUCCAUGACUAAUUGAGAUCAGCACUAUGUAGGUUUAGAUCUUAAGAUGAGGAACAAAUAGAAUUGUACAUGUUUUCAAAGGAUGACAUUUAC